rnacentral:lncRNA from 1 species
AUCAGUUUGUUCCCCGUUUCUUCUCUAGCCUGAGCCCGACACACUAUUCUAGCUAGACAUGGGUGUGGCUCGUAACACCUGAUGACCAAACGGAUCUACGGCACCAUCGAAUCUCAAACUUUAACUGCCAAAACUAUUGUUUUUCAUCCUGUAGUCCCUUUUAGAAUUACUAAAUGUCCUUUUUUGGGCCGAGAUUUCCAGGAACGCUUUCUCAGGGUUUGUGUGCAAGUAAUUCAAACCAUACGGACCUAAAAAUUAGAAGUCAUUCCAUCUUUAUUCCCCUAGAGCCUUCCAGCAGUUCCUAAACCGCUCAAGUCAGUGCACGUUAUCAUUCUUGUUAGUUCUAAGUGAAUUCCCUCGGUAUGAUAAUUUGUUCAUCAGUUUGUUCCCCGUUUCUUCUCUAGCCUGAGCCUGACACACUAUUCUAGCUAGACAUGGGUGUGGCUCGUAACACCUGAUGACCAAACGGAUCUACGACACCAUCGAAUCUCAAACUUUAACUACCAAAACUAUUGUUUUUCAUCCUCUAGUCCCUUUUAGAAUUACUAAACGUCCUUUUUUGGGCCGAGAUUUCCAGGAACGCUUUCUCGGGGUUUGUGUGCAUGUAUUUCAAACCAUACAGACCUAAAAAUUAGAAGUCAUUCCAUCUUUAUUCCCGUAGAGCCUUCCAGCAGUUCCUAAACCGCUCCAGUCGGAGCAUGUUAUCAUUCUUGUUUGUUCUGAGUGAAUUCCCUCGGUAUGAUAAUUCUAUCAUCAGUUUGUUCCCCGUUUCUUCUCUAGCCUGAGCCUGGCAAACUAUUCUAGCUAGACAUGGGUGUGGCUCGUAACACCUGAUGACCAAACGGAUCUACGACACCAUCGAAUCUCAAACUUUAACUACCAAAACUAUUGUUUUUCAUUCUAUAGUCCCUUCUAGAAUUUCUAAACGUCCUUUUUUGGGCCGAGAUUUCCAGGAAUGCUUUCUCGGGGUUUGUGUGCAAGUAUUUCAAAUCAUACGGACCUAAAAAUUAGAAGUCAUUCCAUCUUUAUUCCCCUAGAGCCUUCCAGUAGUUCCUAAACCGCUCCAGUCGGAGCACGUUAUCAUUCUUGUUAGUUCAUAGUGAAUUCCCUCGGUAUGAUAAUUCUUUCAUCAGUUUGUUCCCCGUUUCUUCUCUAGCCUGAGCCUGGCACAGUAUUCUAGCUAGACAUGGGUGUGGUCGUAACACCUGAUGACUAAAUGGAUCGACGGCACCAUCGAAUCUCAAACUUUAACUGCCAAAACUAUUGUUUUUCAUCCUGUAAUCCCAUUUAGAAUUACUAAACGUCCUUUUUUGGGCCGAGAUUUAGAGGAACGCUUUGUUGGGGUUUGUGUGCAAGUAUUUCAAACCAUACGGACCUAAAAAUUAGAACUCAUUCCAUAUUUAUUCCCCUUGAGCCUUCCAGCAGUUCCUAAACCGCUCUAGUCGGAGCACGUUAUCAUUCUUGUUAGUUCUAAGAGAAUUCCCUCGGUAUGAUAAUUCUUUUAUCAGUUUGUUCCCCGUUUCUUCUCUAGACUGGGCCCGACACACUAUUCUAGCUAGACAUGGGUGUGGCUCGUAACACCUGAUGACCAAACGGAUCUACGGCACCAUCGAAUCUCAAACUUCAACUGCCAAAACUAUUGUUUUUCAUCCUGUAGUCCCUUUUAGAAUUACUAAACGUCCUUUUUUGGGCCGAGAUUUCCAGGAACGCUUUCUCGGGGUUUGUGUGCAAGUAUUUCAAACCAUACGGACCUAAAAAUUAGAAGUCAUUCCAUCUUUAUUCCCGUAGAGCCAUCCAGCAGUUCCUAAACCGCUCCAGUCGGAGCACGUUAUCAUUCUUGUUAGUUCUGAGUGAAUUCCCUCGGUAUGAUAAUUCUUUCAUCAGUUUGUUCCCCGUUUCUUCUCUAGCCUGAGCCUGACAAACUAUUAUAGCUAGACAUGGGUGUGGCUCGUAACACCUGAUGACCAAACGGAUCUAUGGCACCAUCGAAUCUCAAACUUUAACUGCCAAAACUAUUGUUUUUCAUCCUGUAGUCCCUUUUAGAAUUACUAAACGCCCUUCUUUGGGACGAGAUUUCCAGGAACGCUUUCUCGGGGUUUGUGUGAAAGUAAUUCAAACCAUACGGACCUAAAAAUUAGAAGUCAUUCCAUCUUUAUUCCCGUGGAGCCUUCCAGUAGUUCCUAAACCGCUCCAGUCGGAGCACGUUAUCAUUCUUGUUAGUUCUGAGUGAAUUCCCUCGGUAUGAUAAUUCUUUCAUCAGUUUGUUCCCUGUUUCUUCUCUAGCCUGAGCCUGGCACACUAUUCUAGCUAGACAUGGGUGUGGCUCGUAACACCUGAUGACUAAACUGAUCAAUGACACCAUCGAAUCUCAAACUUUAACUGCCAAAACUAUUGUUUUUCAUCCUGUAGUCCCAUUUAGAAUUACUAAACGUCCUUUUUUGGGCCGAGAUUUCCAGGAACGCUUACUCGGGGUUUGUGUGCAAGUAUUUCAAACCAUACUGACCUAAAAAUUAGAAGUCAAUCCAUCUUUAUUCCCCUAGAGCCUUCCAGCAGUUCCUAAACCGCUCCAGUCGGAGCACGUUAUCAUUCUUGUUAGUUCUGAGUGAAUUCCCUCGGUAUGAUAAUUCUUUCAUCAGUUUGUUCCUUGUUUCUUCUCUAGCCUGAACCUGACACACUAUUCUAGCUAGACAUGGGUGUGGCUCGUAACACCUGAUGACCAAACGGAUCUACGGCACCAUCGAAUCUCAAACUUUAACUGCCAAAACUAUUAUUUUUAAUCCUCUAGUCCCAUUUAGAAUUACUAAACGUCCUUUUUUGGGCCGAGAUUUAGAGGAACGCUUUCAUGCGGUUUGUGUGCAAGUAUUUCAAACCAUACGGACCUAAAAAUUAGAAGUCAUUCCAUCUUUAUUCCCCUAGAGCCUUCCAGCAGUUCCUAAACCGCUCCAGUCGGAGCAUGUUAUCAUUCUUGUUAGUUCUGAGUGAAUUCCCUCGGUAUGAUAAUUCUUUCAUCAGUUUGUGGCCCGUUUCUUCUCUAGCCUGAGCCUGACACACUAUUCUAGCUAGACGUGGGUGUGGCUCGUAACACCUGAUGACCAAACGGAUCUACGGCACCAUCGAAUCUCAAACUUUAAGUGCCAAAACUAUUAUUUUUAAUCCUGUAGUCCCAUUUAGAAUUAC